UACGUAGGGUGCGAGCGUUGUCCGGAAUUACUGGGCGUAAAGAGCUCGUAGGUGGUUUGUCGCGUUGUCCGUGAAAAUUCCCUGGCUUAACUGGGGGCGUGCGGGGCGAUACGGGGCAGACUGGAGUACUGCAGGGGAGACUGGAAUUCCUGGUGUAGCGGUGGAAUGCGCAGAUAUCAGGAGGGAACACCCGGUGGGCGAAAGGC
rnacentral:rRNA from 1 species